CCGUUCAGGGACUAAGCGGUAGAAAAUGAAUGAAUGAAUGACACUGUUUAGGCAGGUGUGUUAACUGUUUUGAAAAUGUGGAGUUUCAAUUGAUGGCUGCUUCA